UACGAAGGGUGCAAGCGUUAAUCGGAAUUACUGGGCGUAAAGGGUGCGUAGGCGGUUAGUUAAGUCUGUUGUGAAAUCCCCGGGCUCAACCUGGGAAUGGCAAUGGAUACAGGCUGGCUAGAGUGUGUCAGAGGAUGGUGGAAUUCCCGGUGUAGCGGUGAAAUGCGUAGAGAUCGGGAGGAACAUCAGUGGCGAAGGCGGCCACCUGGGCUGUACCUGACGCUCAAACACGAAAGCUAGGGGAGCGAACGGG
rnacentral:rRNA from 1 species